rnacentral:SRP_RNA from 1 species
AAUCGGGUCCUGCGCGGCAGAUGUUCAUGAACCCCGCCAGGUCUGUGAGGAAGCAACGGUAAAUGGACCUCUCUGGGUGCCGCAGGGCUGCCUGGUUACG